CCUACGGGAGGCAGCAGUGAGGAAUCUUGGUCAAUGGACGAGAGUCUGAACCAGCCAAGUAGCGUGAAGGAUGACUGCCCUAUGGGUUGUAAACUUCUUUUAUAUGGGAAUAAAACGUGGCACGUGUGCCUUUUUGUAUGUACUUUAUGAAUAAGGAUCGGCUAACUCCGUGCCAGCAGCCGCGGUAAUACGGAGGAUCCGAGCGUUAUCCGGAUUUAUUGGGUUUAAAGGGAGCGUAGAUGGGUUGUUAAGUCAGUUGUGAAAGUUUGCGGCUCAACCGUAAAAUUGCAGUUGAUACUGGCAGUCUUGAGUACAGUUGAGGUAGGCGGAAUUCGUGGUGUAGCGGUGAAAUGCUUAGAUAUCACGAAGAACCCCGAUUGCGAAGGCAGCUUACUAAACUGCGACUGACACUGAUGCUCGAAAGUGUGGGUAUCAAACAGGAUUAGAUACCCGAGUAGUC
rnacentral:rRNA from 1 species